CUUCUCUUGAGAGCGGCGGACGGGUGAGUAAUGCCUAGGAAUCUGCCUGGUAGUGGGGGAUAACGUUCGGAAACGGACGCUAAUACCGCAUACGUCCUACGGGAGAAAGCAGGGGACCUUCGGGCCUUGCGCUAUCAGAUGAGCCUAGGUCGGAUUAGCUAGUUGGUGAGGUAAUGGCUCACCAAGGCGACGAUCCGUAACUGGUCUGAGAGGAUGAUCAGUCACACUGGAACUGAGACACGGUCCAGACUCCUACGGGAGGCAGCAGUGGGGAAUAUUGGACUAUGGGCGAAAGCCUGAUCCAGCCAUGCCGCGUGUGUGAAGAAGGUCUUCGGAUUGUAUAGCACUUUAAGUUGGGAGGAAGGGCAGUUACCUAAUACGUGAUUGUUUUGACGUUACCGACAGAAUUAGCACCGGCUAACUCUGUGCCAGCAGCCGCGGUAAUACAGAGGGUGCAAGCGUUAAUCGGA
rnacentral:rRNA from 1 species